UCGUAGUCGGAUUUCGGGCAGGUGUCAGCGGUCCGCCCUUUGGUGAGUACUGCUGAUGCUUGCCUUUCUGUCGGGGACGGGCUCCUGGGCCUCACUGUCCGGGACUCGGAGUCGGCGAGGUUACUGUGAGUAAAUUAGAGUGUUCAAAGCAGGCCUACGCUCUGAAUACGUUAGCAUGGAAUAACAUGAUAGGACCCUGGCCUAUCCUGUUGGUCUGUAGGACCGGAGUAAUGAUUAAGAGGGAUGGUGGGGGGCAUUCGUAUUUCAUUGUCAGAGGUGAAAUUCUUGGAUUUAUGAAAGACGAACUACUGCGAAAGCAUUUGCCAACGACAUCCUCAUUGAUCAAGAACGAAAGUUGGGGGCUCGAAGACGAUUAGAUACCGUCGUAGUCUCAACCAUAAACGAUUGCCGACUAGGGAUUGCAGGGUGUUUUUUCGAUGACCUCUGCAGCACCUUUAUGAGAAAUCAAAGUUUUUGGGUUCCGGGGGGAGUAUGGUCGCAAGGCUGAAACUUAAAGGAAUUGACGGAAGGGCACCACCAGGCGUGGAGCCUGCGGCUUAAUUUUGACUCCUACACGGGAAAACUUACCAGGUCCAGACACCGGGAGGAUUGACAGAUUGAGAGCUCUUUCUUGAUUCGGUGGGUGGUGGUGCAUGGCCGUUCUUAGUUGGUGGGUUGCCUUGUCAGGUUGAUUCCGGUAACGAACGAGACCUCAGCCUGCUAAAUAGUCGCGCUUGCCUCUGGCAGGUGGUUGACUUCUUAGAGGGACUAUUGACGCGAGUCAAAUGGAAGUAUGAGGGCAAUAACAGGUCUGUGAUGCCCUUUAGAUGUUCUGGGCCGCACGCGCCCCUUACACUGAUGGGAUGCAACGAGCUCUACCCUUGACCGAAAGGCCCGGGUAAACUUGUCAAAAAUCCAUCGUGAUGGGGAUAGAUUAUUGCAAUUCUUGAUCUUCAACGAGGAAUUCCUAGUAAGUGCGAGUCAUC
rnacentral:rRNA from 1 species